GGGGGACCUUCGGGCCUCUUGCCAUCGGAUGUGCCCAGAUGGGAUUAGCUAGUAGGUGGGGUAACGGCUCACCUAGGCGACGAUCCCUAGCUGGUCUGAGAGGAUGACCAGCCACACUGGAACUGAGACACGGUCCAGACUCCUACGGGAGGCAGCAGUGGGGAAUAUUGCACAAUGGGCGCAAGCCUGAUGCAGCCAUGCCGCGUGUAUGAAGAAGGCCUUCGGGUUGUAAAGUACUUUCAGCGGGGAGGAAGGGAGUAAAGUUAAUACCUUGGCUCAUUGACGUUACCCGCAGAAGAAGCACCGGCUAACUCAUUGCCAGCAGCCGCCGUAAUCCGGAGGGUGCAAGCGUUAAUCGGAAUUACUGGGCGUAAAGCGCACGCAGGCGGUUC
rnacentral:rRNA from 1 species